rnacentral:rRNA from 1 species
CGCGCAGGCGGUCGAAUAAGUCGAAUGUGAAAGCCCCCGGCUCAACUGGGGAGGGUCAUUCGAUACUGUUCAACUCGAAGGCAGGAGAGGGAAGCGGAAUUCCCGGUGUAGUGGUGAAAUGCGUAGAUAUCGGGAGGAACACCAGUGGCGAAGGCGGCUUUCUGGCCUGUUCUUGACGCUGAGGCGCGAAAGCCGAGGGGAAGGCAAACG